CCAAUAGCGUAUAUUAAAGUUGUUGUGGUUAAAAAGCUCGUAGUUGAACCUUGGGCCUGGUUGGCCGGUCCGCCUCACCGCGUGUACUGGUCCGGCCGGGCCUUUCCCUCUGUGGAACCCCAUGCCCUUCACUGGGUGUGGCGGGGAAACAGGACUUUUACUUUGAAAAAAUUAGAGUGCUCCAGGCAGGCCUAUGCUCGAAUACAUUAGCAUGGAAUAAUAAAAUAGGACGUGCGGUUCUAUUUUGUUGGUUUCUAGGACCGCCGUAAUGAUUAAUAGGGACAGUCGGGGGCAUCAGUAUUCAAUUGUCAGAGGUGAAAUUCUUGGAUUUAUUGAAGACUAACUACUGCGAAAGCAUUUGCCAAGGAUGUUUUCAUUAAUCAGGAACGAAAGUUAGGGGAUCGAAGACGAUCAGAUACCGUCGUAGUCUUAACCAUAAACUAUGCCGACUAGGGAUCGGACGAUGUUAUUUUUUGACUCGUUCGGCACCUUACG
rnacentral:rRNA from 1 species